GAUGAACGCUGGCGGCGUGCCUAAUACAUGCAAGUCGAGCGAACGGAUGAGAAGCUUGCUUCUCUGAUGUUAGCGGCGGACGGGUGAGUAACACGUGGAUAACCUACCUAUAAGACUGGGAUAACUACGGGAAACCGGAGCUAAUACCGGAUAAUAUUUUGAACCGCAUUGUUCAAAAGUGAGAUACGGUCUUUCGGUCACUAAUAGCUGGAUACGCGCUGCAUUAGUUAGUUGGUAAGGUAACGGCUUACCAAGGCAACGAUGCAUAGCCGACCUGAGAGGGUGAUCGGCCACCCGGGAACUGAGACACGGUCGAGACACCGGCGCGAGGAAGCAGUAGGGAAUCUUACGCAAUGGGCGAAAGCCUGACAGAGCAACGCCGCGUGAGUGAUGAAGGUCUUCGGAUCGUAAAACGAUGUUAUUAGGGAAGAACAUAUGUGUAAGUAACCGUGAAGAUCUUGACGGUACCUAAUCAGAAAGCCACGGCUAACUACGUG
rnacentral:rRNA from 1 species